GGCCCGCGCGGCUCCAGGUGGCGGGAGGCGGCGGUUGGCGGGAAGGGCCGCGCGGGCCUGGGGGCGGCGCCUCAGAUUCAUUCUUUCCAGAAAGGCACCACAUGCGUAUUUCCGCCGUGGCCCCAGAUCCUCCCCGCACCGCCGUUUUGAGCGUUUACACUCAUUACCCCGGUCCGUCUGGGAGACCCGCCGGGCUCCUGCCCU
rnacentral:antisense_RNA from 1 species